rnacentral:rRNA from 1 species
UACGGAGGGUGCAAGCGUUGUCCGGAUUUAUUGGGUUUAAAGGGUGCGUAGGCGGCUUUUUAAGUCAGCGGUGAAAGACAACAGCUUAACUGUUGCAGUGCCAUUGAUACUGAAGAGCUUGAGUACAGAUGAGGUAGGCGGAAUUUAUGGUGUAGCGGUGAAAUGCAUAGAUACCAUAAAGAACGCCGAUUGCGAAGGCAGCUUACUAAGCUGUAACUGACGCUGAGGCACGAAAGCGUGGGGAUCAAACAGG